GAUGAACGCUGGCGGCGUGCCUAAUACAUGCAAGUCGAGCGAACAGACGAGGAGCUUGCUCCUCUGACGUUAGCGGCGGACGGGUGAGUAACACGUGGAUAACCUACCUAUAAGACUGGGAUAACUUCGGGAAACCGGAGCUAAUACCGGAUAAUAUAUUGAACCGCAUGGUUCAAUAGUGAAAGACGGUUUUGCUGUCACUUAUAGAUGGAUCCGCGCCGCAUUAGCUAGUUGGUAAGGUAAAGGCUUACCAAGGCAACGAUGCGUAGCCGACCUGAGAGGGGGAUCGGCCACACGGGAACUGAGACACGGUCCAGACUCCUACGGGAGGCAGCAGUAGGGAAUCUUCCGCAAUGGGCGAAAGCUUGACGGAGCAACGCCGCGUGAGUGAUGAAGGUCUUCGGAUCGUAAAACUCUGUUAUUAGGGAAGAACAAAUGUGUAAGUAACUAUGCACGUCUUGACGGUACCUAAUCAGAAAGCCACGGCUAACUACGUG
rnacentral:rRNA from 1 species